rnacentral:tRNA from 1 species
GGGCGUAUGGUCUAGAGGUAUGAUACCUGCUUUGGGUUUAACCUUUGCAGGGGGUCUUCGGUUCGAAUCCGGAUUCGCCCC